rnacentral:lncRNA from 1 species
GCUCACUAAAGCUAGUAUUUCCUAUCAUAUCCUUCCAUGAACAAUUUCAACUCUCCCUCUAUUCUUAUUCAACACAAGUGCUCUAUUUAUCUAAUUAUAUAAGCUCCAUACAUUAGUACUUUGGGGCUUUCAUCGUCAUGGGCAUUCCACAAACUCCAAACCCUUCUCCUCCUUCACACCUAUAUCCACAUGAAAUUCAGCUUAAACUUUACCAAGCAUUCAUAUUCUCCAUUCCAAUACUCUUCACAAUUAUUCUAGUUCUCUUGUUUUACUUAUUCUACCUCAAGAGAAGAGCAUCAUCUCUCUCAUCACCUCCUCUUCAUAUACUUCCUAGGAUGAGGUCCAAUCCUCAAACUACAUAUCAUUAUUCUUCCUCAAUCAUCUCAUGGUACAAUUUCUGGACAAACUUCCAAGAGUUUUAUUUGAUGACGAUUUGGGAGCAAGGGAUUCAUCGUGUUGUGUUUGUCUAGGAGAGUUUGAGUUGAAAGAAGAGUUGUUUCAGAUUCCUGAUUGCAAGCACGUGUUUCACACAGAAUGCAUACAUAACUGGCUCCAAUCAAACACAACAUGCCCACUUUGUAGAUGUUCCAUCAUCCCAACCACUACUACUACUAAGGUCCUUAGUCCUACACCUUCUAUUGUAUCAUUAGACUCAGCACAACAAGGGGGUGUCAUUUCAGGCUCUCCACAUAUCAUAUUAUUGCCUCCUCAACUAGAAGAUGAAGCAAGUUUUUAAUUCCUAAAAUAAUACUCAUAUUUUAGGGGAAUGAUAUGUUUUCCUAUGUUCAUUGGAACAUUAUUGAGAUCCUGUUACGUUGGAGAUUAUUUAGUUGAUAGAGAUGUUUAUAUGUGUUAC